rfam:Algibacter lectus DNA, contig: contig00002, strain: JCM 19300.
AAAGCGUAAACCGAAAAGCUUAUUAAUAAUAGAGUAGGUA